GAAAAAUAAAACGCCUUUCCUCUAUUCAGGCAGGCUCCUGACUUCAACAACUUUGAAAAUAAAAUGUCAUUCUUUUCUUUAGGUUGGCGAGAUUUUAACAACUUUUACAAAUAAAACGCCUUUCCUCUCUUCAGGCGGGCUCCUGACUUCAACAACUUUGAAAAAUAAACGACUUUCCUCUCUUCAGGCGGGCUCCUGAUUUCAACAACAACUUUGAAAAAUAAAACGCCUUUCCUCUCUUCAGGCGGGCUCCUGACUUCAACAACUUUGAAAAUAAAAUGUCAUUCCUUUCUUUAGGUUGGCGAGAUUUCAACAACUUUUACAAGUAAAACGCCUUUCCUCUCUUCAGGCGGGCUCCUGACUUCAACAACUUUGAAAAUAAAAUGUCAUUCCUCUCUUCAGGCGGACUCCUAAUUUCAACAACAACUUUUGAAAAUAAAGUGUCAUUCCUUCCUUUAGGUUGGCGAGAUUUAAACAACUUUAAAAAUAAAACGUCUUUCCUCUCUUCAAGAGGGUUCCUGACUUCAACAACAACUUUGAAAAUAAAAUGUCAUUCCUUUCUUUAGGUUGGCGAGAUUUAAACAACUUUAAAAAUAAAACGCCUUUCCUCUCUUCAGGCGGGCUCCUAACUUCAACAACUUUGAAAAAUAA
rnacentral:lncRNA from 1 species